rnacentral:misc_RNA from 1 species
UAGAAAAGCUGAAAAUAUUCUCAUAUUUAGAGUACACCUGACUACCUGAGGAAUACAUUGUCAAUAUCUUUGUCAAUGUUUAUAGUUACAAUUAUUUGCGGGUACUACAGAUUAAAGCUAUGUUACCCUCUAGAAAAUUGGGAUUCCAACUUUCAUUUUUCUUUUUCGUAGGAUCUUUUCAAAUUGCUGGUUUAUCAUGAAUUUUUCUGUUGCAG